rnacentral:lncRNA from 1 species
GAAUGAUAAACAUGAUUUUUUUUUCAUAUUUUACUCUUUAGGGUAAUUGUUUAAAGUACAAACAAUAAUAGUAUAUGUUGGGUUUGUAAUACAUGUAGAAUUAAAAUGUAAGAAAACAAUGCAUAAAGCAGAAUGGAGGAAGUGGAAAUUUACUGUUAUAAAGUUCUCGUACUAACAUAGUAUUAUCUACAGAUAGACUGAUAAAGCUGUACACUAAAAAUGCUUGAGCAACCCAUAAAAAUAUGAAUAUGAAAUACAACUAAUAAACCAGUAACAGAGAUAAAAAAACAUAUUAAAACAUUCAGUUGGCGUUCCCAUCGUGGUGCAGUGGCUAAUGAAUCCGACUAGGAACCAUGAGGUCGCAGGUUCGAUCCCUGGCCUUGCUCACUGUGGCGUAGGUCGCAGAUGCAGCUGCAGCUCCAAUUCAACCCCUGGUCUGGGAAUUUCCUUAUGCCGUAGUUAUAGCCCUACAAAGCAAUAAAUAAAUAAAUAAAUAAAUAAAUAAAAAGAAAAUUCACCAAAGAAAAUAAAGAAAAUAUAUAUUAUGGCAAAUAAAUAUUUGAAAAGAUAUUCAACAUCAUUGUUAUUAGGGAAAUGCAAAUUAAAACCACAAUGAGAUAGCAAUGCACCCACUAGAACGGCUAAAAUUAAGAUGCCUAAGUGUUGGCAAGAAUGUUGAACCUCUGGACCUCUCAUACAUUGCUGGGAAUGCAAAAUGGUUUAACUUCAGAAAUUAGUUUGGCGAUUUCUUAGAAGCCAAAUAUUCCCCUACUGCAUGGCCUAUUCACCCCAUUUUAUUACUUCCUGAUAAAAGGUAUGUACCAAGAGGAAAGAAUGCGAACAUUCACAUAAAGACUUGUGUGAGAAUAUUUACAGUCCCUUUACUCAUCAUAGCCAAAAACUAUGGAAAAAAAUUUUAUCAGCUCAUGAAUAGAUAAAAUGUGGAAUAUCCAUACAAUGGACUUCUACUCCAAAAAAGAUAUAAACGACUGACAUGGACAACAUCAUAGAUGAAUCUUAAUGUCAGUGUGCCAAAUUUUAAAAAGACGUGAAAGACUAAAUGCUCUAUGGAUUUAUUUUUACGUAAUUUUAGAAAAGGAAAAACCACAUAGAGAAGAUCAGUUGACAAAGGCUAUGGAUUAUGGGAAAGGGUUGACUGAAAAAGGACAGGGGGGAUUUGGAGGCUAAUGGAAAUGUGAACAUCGUGGAGAUAGUUAAAAAACUAUAAGCAUAUGUCAAAACUUAACCAGCUGAAUAGUUAAAAUUGCUGAAUUUUAUUACAUCUACAUCAUCUCAACAAAACUGAUUUUUAAAAAGUAUACUGAAAUAAGUCCAGGCUUUGGAGCAUGUAAAAUGCAGGAUGGAGAAACAGUUAUAUUACAAUAUUCAAUGCCCAGAGUGUCACUUCCCCCUGUGGAGUUGACCAGAGAGAAUAUCACUGGCUUUUUUCUUUCUACUAUCAACGUGCUGGGUGAAUUUGGGACACGUCAGCUUUUCCUUCUUGCAUCUCAAAGACCCCAUUUGGAAAGACAGUGCAGCUGGAUAGUCAGACUUGAUGACCCAGACCUGACAGGAAAACACUGUGCCACUCACUCUCCCCCUGCAAGCAGCAGACCUUCCCUCCUCUCCUCCAGGAAAUUCCCACUGCCUGGGCUCUGGGCUGUAAGACAAAGAUAAACUUUGCUUAUUUUGAUUUGCGUUUCUCUUAUAAUCAGCAAUGUUGAGCAUUUUUUCAUGUGUUUGUUGGCCAUCUGUAUAUCUUCUUUGGAGAAAUGGCUAUUCAGGUCUUUUGCCCAUUUUUCCAUUGAUUGAUUGGUUUUUUUGCUGUUGGGUUGUAUAAGUUGUUUAUAUAUUCUAGAGAUUAAGCCCUUGUCAGUUGCAUGAGAUACCACCUCACACCAGUCAGAAUGGCCAUCAUUAAUAAAUCCACAAAUAACAAGUGCUGGAGGGGCUGUGGAGAAAAGGGACCCCUCCUGCACUGUUGGUGGUAAUGUAAACUGGUACAGCCAUUAUGGAGAACAGUUUGGAGAUACCUUAGAAAUCUAUACAUAGAACUUCCAUAUGACCCCGCAAUCCCACUCUUGGGCAUCUAUCCGGACAAAACUCUACUUAAAAGAGACACGUGCACCCGCAUGUUCAUUGCAGCACUAUUCACAAUAGCCAGGACAUGGAAACAACCCAAAUGUCCAUUGACAGACGAUUGGAUUCGGAAGAUGUGGUAUAUAUACACGAUGGAAUACUACUCAGCCAUAAAAAAGAAUGACAUAAUGCCAUUUGCAGCAACAUGGAUGGAACUAGAGAAUCUCAUCCUGAGUGAAAUGAGCCAGAAAGACAAAGACAAAUACCAUAUGAUAUCACUUAUAACUGGAAUCUAAUAUCCAGCACAAAUGAACAUCUCCUCAGAAAAGAAAAUCAUGGACUUGGAGAAGAGACUUGUGGCUGCCUGAUGGGAGGGGGAGGGAGUGGGAGGGAUCGGGAGCUUGGGCUUAUCAGACACAACUUAGAAUAGAUGUACAAGGAGAUCCUGCUGAAUAGCAUUGAGAACUAUGUCUAGAUACUUAUGUUGCAACAGAAGAAAAGGUGGGGGAAAAAAGGAAUUGUAAUGUAUACAUGUAAGGAUAACCUGACCCCCUUGCUGUACAGUGGGAAAAUAAAAAAAUAAAAAUAAAAUAAAAUAAAAUAAAAUUUUAUUCUGCAUUUAAAAAAAAAACAAAAACAAACAAAAAAAAAAAACUUUGCUUAUUUUGACCAUUCCCCCCCGGGAAAGGCCUGAUGCUCUGUAAGGCUGGUACUUGUGACCCCAGGACUCCAAGAACACUGCACACCUGUCACUUACCUGGGCAGGAUGCCCCAAGACAGGAACACAGAAUAAGCUUUGGCUAACUCCCUUUAUGCAAAUAGGUGCUAACUACUCCAAGAGGCCAAGGGCCCUUAUAACAGAGGAUUUGCACAUAAUUGGAAACAUCUUUAACGCCCUAUGGAUGGCUUUCCUCUUAUUGCUCUGUGACAAAAUGAAACAGUGAAAGAUAUUGACUUUUUUUGGGGGCAGGAAAGGGGAGAAGAAGGCUGGGUCUUAAAAUGAAAUUAUGGUUAUUGUUCUCCUGGUAGCAUUUCUUCUGUGCUGCCAUGACAGAUGGCUCUCUAAGUGACAACAGAUUUGUAUUUCAUUAGGACACUUUAGUCAAAAGAUCAAUGAUGCUCUGGGAACCGCUCUGCCAGUCCAUGGGGGCGGAUGAGCCCGGUGAGAAGCCCGCAAAGAUCCAGCUAAAAUUAGGCGGCUGCUGACAGAGGCUGGAUUCGCAAUCAUAGCACAUCGAUUUCCAAAGUGAUGCCGAAACCAGGGAAGGUUUAUUGGUCUGCUUGUUCUAUCUUUAUGGAGAAGGGGCUUCUCUAAUAAAGCGGCUCUUCCUCUGGAGAAAUGGAGCUCUUUAUAGGCAAGAUUAAUUUGGGGCAGACUUGGAGGGAGUAGUCAGGGUGUUGUGACUAUGUGUGUUGGACAGGAUGUCCAUCCAUCCUUAACUUGUAGUGUAAUUGCCAAGCUGCACUGUUGUUGCUGUUUUUAGUUACUCUUUGUGAAGCAUUCACUCCCCCCCACCAGCAUCUGUGAGCCUAAGAACUGGAGAUGGUUUCAGGAAGUGUCCUGGCUGAAGGAUGGACAGACUCCAAAAAGCCAGAGUGGGGAGGGGGCCAGCAAAUACUCCAGGCAGAGGUGUGAAGGUCCCCAGGAGAUGGAGGAGCCACAAGAAGAUGACUUGGCCUGUGCUUGAAAUCCUCCCCAGUCAAUGAGGUGCUCAUCAAUUGAAGAAAGUUUUCCCACCUUAGGGCUUGUUCUGUAAUUGCUCUCAUUCAUUCAUUCAUUCAUUAUGGGUAUAUCUUUAACAAUUAAUUUUGGGUUAAAAUGGAUGUAAAAUUACAUUUACCAUAUGUUAUCAUAUCAAUGAAAACACUGAAAAAACACUGCAUAGUAUUUAUGGUAAAAGUACAAAAAUGUGUAUAAAAAGGUAGCAUACACAUAAUAGUGGUAUAUAACAGCCUUAAGAGGUGUGAUUUUUCACUUCACAGAGAAGAGACUGCAGCUCAAAGAGGUUAGGCAGAUGCAGCAUCCGUGAGAAGUGGCAGAGCUGAGUUUCAAGCCCAAGGUCUACCUGAUACCAUAGUCCCCAGGUGUCUGAGUCCAUCCUUCCCCAGUCAGCUCCUCCUCCUUUUGUCUCUCUUCCCUGCCCCCAAUCCACCUGACUGUGCUAUCUUUCCAUGGCUCCUCCAUCUCAUCUUCCCACCUGUCUGGGCACCUGCCAGCCCUACCCUCCCUUUGGCCUCCCACAAUCCAUCCACCCAUCAGGAUGCGGCACCUCAUCCUCCAGUUCUCUGAGCCAGGACCUGCUGGUUUUGCAGGAUCAUUUGCUUCAAAUAUAAUACUUGUUGCGAUAUCUGUCCCAUAGGCCAAUUGCCUUGGGAGAACUUAACUCAGAUCUGCCCUCCGAGUCUGAAAUUGGGCUGUGGUUCACUGGGCAGCUCAGGAUUUCCUGGCAGAAGGGGAGAGAGGAGCUGUGGUGCAAUGGACAGUGCUGAGUGGUCUGUAUACUAAUCUUGGGACAUAUAUCUAACCACCUCGAAGCCUCCUGUGGUAAAUUCAAUAAUGAUCACCCCCCCCCAAAGAUGUCUAUGUCCUAAUCUCCAGAAACUGUGACUAUGUGAUCUCACAAGGGAAAAUUAAGGGUCUUGAGAUGGGAAGGGUAUCCUGGACUUUCCAGGUAGGUUCAAUGUCAGCACAGUGGGCCUCAUAAUAGGGAAGCAAGAGGGUCAGAGUCAGGGAACAUGAGAGAAGCGGGAAAGGGAAGGAUAUACAAUGGCAUAAGCAGAGGACAAGGUCAGAGGAGAUUUGAAGAGACUAUGAGACUGGCUUUGAAGAUCAAGGAAGGGGCGGUGAGCUGAGGAAUGUGGGCAGCCUCUAUAAAUGGAAAAAGCAAAGAAUGGAUUCUCCUCUGGAGCCUCCAGAAAGAACCAGCUCUGCUGACUCCUUGACUCUAGCUCUGUGAGACUGACUCUGGAGUUCCUUCUUCCAGAAUGGCCAGAGAAUAUAUCUGCACUGUUUUAAACCACCAAGUGGGAGUUCCCGUCGUGGCACAGUGGUUAACGAAUCCGACUAGGAACCAUGAGGUUGUGGGUUCGAUCCCUGGCCUUGCUCAGUGGGUUAAGGAUCUGGCGUUGCCGUGAGCUGUGGUGCAGUUUGCAGACGCUGCUCGGAUCUCGCAUUGCUGUGGCUCUGGCGUAGGCCAGUGACUACAGCUCCGGUUCGACCUCUGGCCUGGGAACCUCCAUAUGCCAUGGGAAGCAGCCCUCAAAAAGGCAAAAAGGCCAAAAUAAAAAAAUAAAAAAUAAACCACCAGGUGUGUGACCAUUUGUUACAGCAGCAGUAGGAACUGAUAUAUCUCAUUUUCAUCUAUAAAAUGGGGAUGAUAACACACAUUCCUGUAACUGUGAUCUAAUAGCACACGAUGGUGUCAAGAUGGCAGAGUGGAGUGCUGUCACCAGAACAGCUCUGGGGUAUGGCUCCUAGCAGUUGUCUGAGCCCUACCUUCUAGGAGGGACUAGACUGAGGCAAGUUGUGUGACCUCCUAUACUGCCAUUAUGAGCCCCUUCUCUGCCCUAGAGAAGGCUGAGCUGUCUCUCGCCUCUGCCCUGUGCACCUGGGGCAGCAUCAGAGCCCCCUCCAGCCCCACCUCAGUUCACUAUCACUCAUUCUCCAGGCCUCAGCUUGAGCACCACCUCCACUGAGAAGCCAUCUGGACCCUCCAAGGCACAGCCAGUUGGCUCUCUGUGUUCUGAAAACAGUCAUCUGGGGCAUCCUCUCAUAGCUCUUACCAGCUGAAAAAUGCAUCAAUAAAGACUUCCUGCUCGGGGCUAGGCUCUCUGAUGGUGUGGUGAAGCAGGACUGAGCCUCAGGGAACUCUCACUCUGGUCACUGUAAUCACUUCCCCUAAAGUCCACUUUCUCUCUAGCCUUUGUUCUCAGAGGUGGGGGGGGAACGAGGCUGAAGGUCACCUCUCUCCCUGGGGUACAGCCCUGCGCCCCACCCAGGCAGGAUCGUGAGUGUUGAAUGAGGAAAGUUGGGUCUGACCCCUCCCUAGGAUUUUCACCCGGGUGGAAUAUUCUAAAUAGGAAUGAUUUAGAGAUGGCCCAAGAGAAAUGGAGACCCAGGGAGGGAGAGUGACUUGCAUCAGGCCAGGCAGAAGGGAUGCUCAGUGAGAAGACUGGUACUGGACUGGAGAGUGACUCCCAAAGGACACGUCUCCUCGGAGCCUCAGAGUAAGAGUCUCCGCAGAUGUAAUUAAGGCAAGGAUUUCAAGAUGAGAUCAGUCUGGAUUACGGUGGGCCUGAAAGCCAGUGACAGGUAUCCUUAAGAGACAGAAGAGGAAACAGGCAGAGAAGAUCAUGUGAAGACAGAGGCAGAAAUCAGAGUGAUGCAUCCACAAACCAAGGAAAGGCCAGGGCUGCUGGCAGCCUCAGAAGCCGGGGAAGGAGCAUGAAGCAGAUUUUAGCCUCCAGAAAGGUGGCAGAUUAAGUGUAUGUUGCUUUAAGUCCCAUGGUUUUUGUUAAUUUCUUACCUAGCCUAAGGAAAUGAAUCCAAGACUCUUCAGACUCCCCUUAUCU